GACCGAGGGAAGAUGGGCGAACACGAAAUCGUGCCGCCCCGCACUCCCGGGGCGUCUCAUUCUCAUUGCGAGAAGAGGCGCACCAAGAGCGUACACGCUGGGACCCGAAAGAUGGUGAACUAUGCCUGGUCAGGACGAARUCAGGGGAAACCCUGAUGGAGGUCCGUAGCGAUUCUGACGUGCAAAUCGAUCGUCGGAACUGGGUAUAGGGGCGAAAGACUAAUCGAACCAUCUAGUAGCUGGUUCCCUCCGAAGUUUCCCUCAGGAUAGCUGGCGCUCGUCGCCUACGAGUCUCAUCCGGUAAAGCGAAUGAUUAGAGGCAUUGGGGUCGAAACGGCCUCAMCCUAUUCUCAAACUUUAAAUGGGUGAGAUCUCCGGCUUGCUCKAACUUAUGAAGCCGCGAGACACGGAUCAGAGUGCCAAGUGGGCCAUUUUUGGUAAGCAGAACUGGCGCUGUGGGAUGAACCAAACGCCGAGUUAAAGCGCCUAAAUCGACGCUUAUGGGAUACCAUGAAAGGCGUUGGUAACUUAAGACAGCAGGACGGUGGCCAUGGAAGUCGGAAUCCG
rnacentral:rRNA from 1 species